GACGAACGCUGGCGGCGUGCUUAACACAUGCAAGUCGAACGGAAAGGCCUGCUUUCCCUUGUGGAUUGCGGGUACUCGAGUGGCGAACGGGUGAGUAACACGUGAGUGAUCUGCCCCCAACUUGGGUAUAAGCCUGGGAAACUGAGUCUAAUUCCCGAUAGGACUGCAGGGUGGUGCCUGUGGUGGAAAACGAUUUUCUAGUGGUUGGGGAUGAGCUCGCGGCCUAUCAGCUUGUUGGUGGGGUAAUGGCCUACCAAGGCGGCGACGGGUAGCCGGCCUGAGAGGGUGGACGGCCACAUUGGGACUGGGAUACGGCCCAGACUCCUACGGGAGGCAGCAGAGGGGAAUAUUGCACAAUGGGCGGAAGCCUGAUGCAGCGACGCCGCGUGGGGGAUGACGGCCUUCGGGUUGUAAACUCCUUUCGACCGCGAGGAAGCCACCUGGUUGGAAGGGUGGUGACGGUAGUGGUAGAAGAAGCACCGGCUAACUACGUG
rnacentral:rRNA from 1 species